AGAGACUUAGGAUAACUAGACCAAGAGCCUUCAAAGCCCUAAGCGGAAGUGAAAACCUUCCAGUCCCUG
rnacentral:tRNA from 1 species